rnacentral:rRNA from 1 species
CAGUCGCCGCGGUAAUACGUAGGUGGCAAGCGUUGUCCGGAAUUAUUGGGCGUAAAGCGCGCGCAGGCGGAUAGGUCAGUCUGUCUUAAAAGUUCGGGGCUUAACCCCGUGAUGAGAUGGAAACUGCCAAUCUAGAGUAUCGGAGAGGGAAGUGGAAUUCCUAGUGUAGCGGUGAAAUGCGUAGAUAUUAGGAAGAACACCAGUAGCGAAGGCGACUUUCUGGACGAAAACUGACGCUGAGGCGCGAAAGCCAGGGGAGCGAACGGGAUUAGAUACCCGCGUAGUCCCUGUCUCUUAUACC